rnacentral:misc_RNA from 1 species
GGAAGUAAAAGUCGUAAACAAGGUUUCCGUAGGUGAACCUGCGGAAGGAUCAUUAGUGAAUUGAAUAUGUUAGCGGACCUCUUCGGAGUCCCUAUCAUCAAAUCAUAUCCAUAACACCUGUGAACUGUAAGGCUGUCUUGAAAACGAAAGUGAUUAGAGCGCCUGCCCAUUUUAUACAAACAUUAAAGUAACAAACGUAGUCUUAUUAUAAUCUAAUAAAACUUACAACAACGGAUCUCUUGGCUCUC